rnacentral:rRNA from 1 species
AGAGUUUGAUCAUGGCUCAGAGCGAACGCUGGCGGCAGGCUUAACACAUGCAAGUCGAGCGGGCGUAGCAAUACGUCAGCGGCAGACGGGUGAGUAACGCGUGGGAACAUACCUUUUGGUUCGGAACAACCCGGGGAAACUUGGGCUAAUACCGGAUAAGCCCUUACGGGGAAAGAUUUAUCGCCGAAAGAUUGGCCCGCGUCUGAUUAGCUAGUUGGUGAGGUAACGGCUCACCAAGGCGACGAUCAGUAGCUGGUCUGAGAGGAUGAUCAGCCACAUUGGGACUGAGACACGGCCCAAACUCCUACGGGAGGCAGCAGUGGGGAAUAUUGGACAAUGGGCGCAAGCCUGAUCCAGCCAUGCCGCGUGAGUGAUGAAGGCCCUAGGGUUGUAAAGCUCUUUUGUGCGGGAAGAUAAUGACGGUACCGCAAGAAUAAGCCCCGGCUAACUUCGUGCCAGCAGCCGCGGUAAUACGAAGGGGGCUAGCGUUGCUCGGAAUCACUGGGCGUAAAGGGUGCGUAGGCGGGUCUUUAAGUCAGGGGUGAAAUCCUGGAGCUCAACUCCAGAACUGCCUUUGAUACUGAAGAUCUUGAGUUCGGGAGAGGUGAGUGGAACUGCGAGUGUAGAGGUGAAAUUCGUAGAUAUUCGCAAGAACACCAGUGGCGAAGGCGGCUCACUGGCCCGAUACUGACGCUGAGGCACGAAAGCGUGGGGAGCAAACAGGAUUAGAUACCCUAGUAGUCC